CUCAAGCAACAAAGUAAAAACACACAAAAACAAGAAAAUAAAAUAACUAAAUAGUGCACGAGCAUGCUAAAUACACGAGAUUAGUUCGAAAUAAUAUAAACAAGAUAAUGUAAUUAAAAACGUAAUUUUAGCACGAUAUAUAAUCGACUUCUGAUUUUCAAUAUCAGACACGUUAGUUCACUAGGUUACAAGGUAAACAAAUUCAAGAAUGUUAAGCAUAGCAUUCCAUUGAAA
rnacentral:lncRNA from 1 species